rnacentral:tRNA from 1 species
GGAGAGGUAAGUUAAUUUAGUAAACUGCGUGAUUCAUGCUCACAUAAUACGUUUUUCGUCCUCUCCU